UUGGUUCCGGCCUGGUGCCUGCGCGUCACGCCCGGUAGUCCCUUCGGCGGUCGAGGGGUCUCGGUCCAAUAUGGGAUCUUUCCAGACAUGAGAGAGGCAGGGCGAGGAGUUUUCUCUGCGGAAUACCACUCUGAGAAAGCCUGAGUUCACAUGACAAAUUCCAUCCCGAGGGCCACACAGCAGGAAAACAGUACAAUCAGAAUUUGAGCGCAGCCUGUGUGGUUCCAGAGGCCCCAGUGAAUGGACAACAUCGUAAGCGAUCUCAAUUUAAAAUGAAAAAAGUUCAACUGGAUUCAUACUGAAGAGAAGAAGAGAGAAGAGGAAGGAGGCAAAAAUGCUAUGUGUCACUGGUGACGAUUGACUCCCAAGCUGCAUGUCUCACUGCUCAACCGGCCAGACACCAGGAUUAUUAUUCAGCAGCACACACCAUCUGGAAAACUUCCAGUUUCAGCCUACAACAUGCCAGAAUCCCAGCAGCAAGGACGGAGGGAGUCACAUUACACUGUGGAAAUAAGAAGGGAAUCCAAAGCCAUUCCCCACCACCAGGAACUGGAGGAGAGUCAGAAGAGUUUACUAUCACUUCAAACACUUCUAAAUAGACUUUGACCAUAAUCCCAAGAAAAUCCUGUCCAUCUCCAGAUUAUCUCAUAGGUUUGUGGAAUAAUAAGAACACGAACUCUGGGUUCAGGAUGGAUUCUUUGCUACUUAAUUCAUAACUGGGGGUAAGUUAUGUAACUUUCUUGACCUCCAUUAAAAUUGUGAAUAUUAAUGCUUACUUCAUAGAUAUUGGAUAGGAAUACUGUACUUAUUAUUACCCCAGCUCAACUCGAGUUUCUAUCAAUAUACGUAGAGAUUCCAGGAAAUGGUAUUUCCCUUGCCCACCUUUCUUCACUUUAGAGGAGAGAGUCAGGAGGAUCUGAAUGGAGUGAUUGUAGACAGGUCAUGCUUUCUUACAGGCACAAUGGGACAAUUGUGAGUCAUCUCUGAGAUUUGGUGGAAGCAUCCAGUUCAGCAGAUUUUCUGGCACUGAAAUAGACUUUUUAGUUCCUAGUCAACAGCUCAAAUCAGCUUCCUUAACCACUAAAGACAAAGUUAAUUAUUUUGUGCAAUGAAUUAAACUUCAGAGUUUCCAGAGAGACCCCCCCCCCUCCAUUCUUCAGAUACAACAGAAGAAAUGACAAGCCAGGAAAAAAAAUUGGAGCUGACCACUUCUGAACAUAAGCCUUUCUGCUGUGGUGCUGAUCUCUUCUUGCAGGCUAGAGAGUGCCAGGAAGAUGUAGCUACAGAUGGCACCACAGAUGGCACCACAGAGUGGUUUGAAGCUCAGAUCCAGGGCAAAGACUCAGAAAAGAGAAAUCAUGCACUUGCAAGCUGGACCAGACUUUAGGCAAUCACCUGCUUCAACACACUUCCUUGAUUAUUAUCCAUUUAAGAAGCUAGGAAACAUCAGAAACAGUAGAUCAUUUGGCUACUAAGGGGUCAGACUAGACCUGAACCCAGUUUUUCUUUCUCUCAUUUAGUAUUUUUCAAAAAUAGAAGCACACACUCUCUGGAACAUAUACCCAGAGGAGAGAUGAUGGGGCUUCUGCCCAUGUCCUGUGGGGAAGAGCUGAAAAGAGAGAGAUGUGUAGCUUGGAAUAUCUAAACUCAGUAAGGACAAGAGAGCUGUCUCCAUUAUUUGAGAGAUGAUUAACUUUUUUUUUCUGUGUGAUUACAAGGAGUUAACCCAAAACCCAUGGCUUGAACUUCAGAAAGAAACUUUGCACCUCAAAAUCAGAAGAUCCCUUUCCAUGAUCUUGAAAAAUUUCUGGGAUCGUGAGUUUUCUAUCACUGACAGUGAUCAAGAGUAGGAAGUCACUUGGUAGUGCUGUUGUGGCCGAGAGGCUCUUAGCAUAGGAAGAGGAGUCAGGCAAGUUAAUAUCGAAUCUAUGAUCCCUCUCAAGACAACAUACGUUGUGGAACUUGCCUCACCAUCUCCUGCCACUCUUCACGGUACUCAUAGAGUCCAACGCAGAAAGAACUGGAAUGGGCUUUUUUCAGGUGACUCUACACAAAGUCCCAUGUCAGUAGCCUUUAGGAGACUGUCACCCCAGAGCAAUUUUAGCUCAAAGUGUACUCACCGCAGAUCUUGCAUAGUUGGCCUGGGAUAAGGGAAGACAGUAGGAGCCCCGCUAGGGGCAGCAGGUAUGAUGGUCUCAUCUCUCUGACAGUGUAUGAGACUGCGCAGGGCCUGGCUGGCUUUUUAUUGGAUGAUGGACAGAGGGUAGUGAGGGCUCCUCCUUCAAUUUGCCUCAGCCUCUUUCACUCAGGCAAAUAUUAAGCAAUGUCAGGAGGUGUGGUCAAGUGUGCUUGUCCAAACAAUGUAAGUAAACCAGGAAGAAGUCUUGAGAGAUAUGGUCAGGGAGAAUGAAGCAAUAAUUUUUCUUUGUUUCCUAUCCCAAACCUUCAGGAUUCACACUUCUUACUUCAGCCCAGUGAGGAUAAAUUCUGUGAAUGACUGUUGUCAGCAAUGUUUCCUUUCCCAUUCCACUUAGUUAUGUUUUAUUUAUGUCUCUUGAGAGAUUAGAUUUGAUGGGGGCAAGGGCUUACAACACAUAAAAAUGGAAGUAGAAGUUGUAAGUCUGAAGUUGGGGCAGGGAGGGUGGGGAGCCUGGCACACAGGAAGAUCUCUGGCAUAGUGGUUUUUGACGUAUGAUUUUUCUUCCCUAAGAUAGAUGCCCUGAGAGUUUUCCAGCCCAGGAGGAAACCCAUAGAGAUAUACAUCAAAGCUGGACUUUCGGUGUGCCAGGAAGGAUGCUACCUGUGAGAAAUGUAGUCUAUCAUAGUUCUUCCAAGAACUAUUAGAGAACACUCUCAGUUUGGUUUUAAAAUGUUUGUUCUGGGUCAGCAAGAUGGCGGAAUAGGAGGUCCCCUGUUAUAUCCUACCCAAGCAAUAAUAAUUUUAGCAGCCGUUCAUGGACAGAACUUCCUGUAUGGAAGCUUUGGGUUCCAGGUAGGAGGUUGUGAAACCCCAGUGGAGCCAUCAAGGAGUCUGUAUCGAGAAAGCAAACCUGAGAGUGGGGGUUCUAGCUCAGUGGAAGAGCACGGGCUUGGCAUGCAGGAUCCUUGGUUCAGUUCCCAGCGUCCCUGUUAAGGGGAAAAAAAUUUAAAAAAAGAAAAGAAAAGUGAAAAAAAAGUAUAUGAUCCUUAAAAAAAAAAGGCAAACCAAAGAAGACAGACUUGCAUUCAUACGAGCAAAAGCACAGAUCUGCCAACUCUAAUUUUUCUUCCCUGCCUGUUAUUUCCCCUGUUGUUUCCUGACAAGGAAGGCUCACUGGCUACGGUCCUGACUGCAGACCCGAAAGAAGCCUCCCCCCCUAGGGGACCUGGCUACAGCUCAGUUUGGCCUUGGUCCUGUGAACAGUACCAUCAGCCAAGGGAUGCCGGAGAAGUCAUGCCCACCUGAGCCUUGGGUAAUAAGCCUGCCUAUCUUGGUUGGGUCUUUGGACCCCAAAGCAGCCUGUGACCUGGCUCUAGCCUCAGCCAUGGUCUGGGAGCAGUCCUGCCAACUCAGGGACGUGGCAGGAGGCGUGCCCAUCGAUGCUGGGAGGCAGGCUCCCUGACUUUGAUUCAGCUAUGGAUCCUGAAGGGACCCUGAGACUUGGCUCCAGCCCUUCUCAGCUGUGGUUCAGGGCCAGUUCUGUCCACGCAGAGACCUGCCCAGUGACCCAGCAGGAGCCAUGAGUAUUUGUGUGCCUGGUAACAAGCCUGCUGUCUGCAGACUCAACUGAGAACCCAGCAGCAGCCAGGUGACUAGUUCUAACCUUGUUUGACUGACCCCAGAGGUAAUCGCAUCAGCUCAGGGGCCCGACAAGAGAAAAUCAUUA